CCGCGUUUAGUUUCGUGCUUUUUUUUGAGACAGCCAUGACCUUGCUGUUAUCUGUUGGUUUACCAGCCGCCCAGUUGUGCAAAAAUCCUGGGUUGAAAUGGUUAGUUCAAAACCGAAAGUGAAUUAGCCUAAGUUACAGCAAACUUUGGACUGUGAUAGGCGGAUACCAGUUUGGCUCUUGACGCCGUCGUGAGUCAGGUAAGACUUAUAGUCUGUGUAGUUACUUAGGAGAAAAUGGCAGGAAUAGUUGGAAUGGAAGAUGGUUGCAUUUUUUAACACGGGUAAAUUCAGCCGCCCUUGCAGCACUUGGAUAGUUUAAAAUAUAAUGCGCUGUUCUGUUCGUCAGUGACCUUGUGCAGGCCAAUUUGUGUACAGUGCGUCAUUGUAGCGAAUUCUGUUUACUGCAGGAUUGCAAGACUUUCUGGUUAAAAUAAGCAUGAAAGUUGUCACGCUUUGUGAACAUAAUAUAUUUAAUGAAACUACCUUGAGCAACAGGUGCGUGGAGCGAGAGAAAAUACGUUAACGUUUUUUUAAAAUCUUGUUUUUUAAACAGUGUGCAUCUUCCAAUAUUCAGACUUUCUUAUUAAUCAUGUGAUUUUUGUUAUUUAUUAGGCUAAUCAUUCGUUUUCAUGGGUGGAAGAAGUAAUUCGGAAGAUAUUGGGCCGAUAUCAUUGGAGAAUUUCAUUUGCUAUAAGGCAACAGAUCUGACAGAACAUGAGAGAAUGAACAGCCACAGGAUGAAGCAAGUAUCUAAUGUGAACACAGCUGGAAGAGGACUUCAUAUGACAGACUUACUAUAAGGGAAGAUAUGUGUCAAUUCAGGAUGGACAACAGAGAUAACUGUUGUUUUGAGCUGAAAGUUAUACUGCCCCAGAGUGGCAGCCAUUAGAAUGAUGGAGCACCCUCCUCCAGAUGCAGUUGGUUCAGCUCCUACUCCAUACCUGUCACCUGCCUGGCAUUAUCACCCAUUGGCCUUCCACCUCGUCUCUCCUCAUGAACAGAGCUAUCUUUGCCCAGCUUCAGUUGUAUCUUGUGAUCGACAUUCAUGCACUGUUUAUGUACAUUUUUCUGUUUUUAUACCUGCACUAUACAAAUAAAAUUGAACUGAAUUGAGUUCAUUGGAGCAAAAAGACAAAA